AGUUCCUUUAAGUUUAGUCCCGUGAGGCUAAGAAGGGUGUGGGUAAGAGAGCUAUGGUGCGCCAUAACAUCGAUUACUCAAUGACGUAGUAUAACUAUCAGUGUAUCUAAAUGUACACUUAGUCUAGACAUUCCUCCUGUCCUCUUAGGGCAGGAGUUUUUUUGU
rfam:Enterococcus hirae ATCC 9790, complete genome.